CGGUCGUAGACGAAGUCCCACGACCAGCGCUUGCCGUAGACGGUGAUCGAGUAGUCGGGGUCGGCGUUCGGCUCCUCGAUGAUCGCC
rnacentral:tRNA from 1 species